rnacentral:pre_miRNA from 1 species
AAAGUACUCCAUCCGUCCCAAAAUUCUUGUCAUAGAUUUGUCUAGAUACGGAUGUAUCAAGUCACAUUUUAGUAUUAGAUACAUCCGUAUCUAGACAAAUCUAAGACAAGAAAUUUGGGACAGAGGGAGUAGUUG